GAGGCCUUCGGACUGGCCCAGGGAGGUCGGCAACGACCACCCAGGGCCGGAAAGUUGGUCAAACUCGGUCAUUUAGAGGAAGUAAAAGUCGUAACAAGGUCUCCGUAGGUGAACCUGCGGAGGGAUCAUUA
rnacentral:rRNA from 1 species